ensembl:lncRNA
CGUUUUUUUGCAGAUUGUUCUUGGAGAGCUUCAGUGCUCAGUACUUAGUAUAAUAAAUAAGAUGGGCCCUUAGGGCAUAAUAAUUAACCUAACAAAUGUUUAAGAAAGAUUUUUAACAAGUAAGAGCAGGUCUUGUCACUUCAAUGGUGUAAGAGAUUAUUCUUUUGCACUAUUGUCUCAAAGUUUGCUGAGGAACACUGAUGGACACAUCCUGGGCAAGGGCUGAGAAAUCUUUUGUCUGAAGGACACAGACGGUAAAGUCCGGACAAGUCCUUGUCAAAGUUGGCGAAAUCUUUUGUCUGAAGAUUUUACAAGCCAGGGGCAACGAGAGAGAGAUAAAUCGCAGCUUAAUGGCCGGGAAGCAGUCUUUUGUGUGGGUUUAUCUCGAGGGAGAUAGCCAUCUCGGGGGGGUACUGCACAUGGCUCUUACCCAAGCUUCUGCCACACUGGCAGAAGAAGAAGGAUAAAAAGGGGGCCAACAACCAAGAGAUUAGGUGUCAGACAUCAGAAGCCUUACGAGCUGAUGCCUGAAAGCUGAAGGACUCUCUUCUGGACCUGCUACCUGAGAUCUGCUGCUUCCUCCUGGACUUACCCAGCUGCUUGUUCCUGGCACCUGCUUGCAGCUUAAAGCCUGUCACGCUGCUGCUGCUCUCCCCCUGCGCUUUUGCCUCGGACAAUCGGAACAACAUACAACGGGACGCUGCUGGAUCUUGGUGCCUUCGAACUUCUUCCCCACAUGUCCCAGAAGAGGGAAGCGUGGUGCGAGGGGAAGCCCUGUCACUGUUGAUAUAAUCAAGUAAACAGCAACAAUGUGAUAAUACAAGAGAAAUGCAGAGGACUGGUAUUUUGUUUAGUGUCAGUGUGAGGACAAUGUUGCUCUAAAUGCAUCUUGCUUGGUUCCCGACAGUGUUGUUCUCACUGAUGGAGAGUGAAGCCAGAAAGAAUAACCCUAAGGACAGGUGCUGUGACUUACCCUCCUGGAAGUGCUUUUUGCUUGAGGGAUCCUGGCUGCUAGUACUUUCCUCCUCGUUUCUCUCUCCUGCACCAAUGGAGAGCGAAAAGAAGACCACAGAACCAUAACUGCCAGCCAUCUGCUUUCUCUGUGGACUAGAAAUAAGCAUCAAAAAAUCAGAAAUAAUUAACCCCCAUUAUGACUUGAUCUAUUAGAAAUGUUACACUCUGAUUAUGUAGAGAAUGCAAAGAUUAUGUAAAGAUAGUGAGAAAAAGGGAUAGUUAUUAUUUAACAUUCCAAUUUUCCCAGUGAAAAGGAAGCAGAAAAUAUAAAGAAAAAAUAGAUAUUCUAAGCAAAAUCAGGAGUUCUACAAAUGAAUACUCUAUCAUCCACUCCAAUUUCUCCCAGUGUUGUUAAUGUUUUUUACAUUAACUCUAUUAUGUCAUGUACAUUCACUCUAUAAACUACAAAAGCUAUAAGCUGAGGAUUCUUUUUUUCUUAUUAUUAUCAUGGACACUUCGUAGCCAAUAGUAUUCAUCCAGAACAUUUCAAAAUAAUGGAUAAUGCAGGAAGACAGUAGAAGGGAAGCUUUUAGCACACACGUCAACAAAAUGCACAAUGUUGACUAACAAAUCAUUAGGGGCAAUUUAUGACUACAAAAAAAAAAAAGGCAGAAAUAUUAAAAAAAAAGAAAAAAUGAUAAUAUUUCAGACAAUAAAGUACUAGAAAAUAGAAUAAACUUUUGCUGGAAAUUAAAUAUCACUAUGAUGGGUGGAUGAGAUUUUUUAGAGAAAAAGAUUUUAAUGACAAAAUAAUGUUUGUAAAUAAAAUUGUCUGAAUAUAGUGUCAAAUUAAUUUGGUUAUCUUCAAGAAAACUAAUCACUUCAAAAUUUGCCCCUAUAUAUCUAUGCAAAAUAAAUCUUACCCUCAGCACCCCUCCUUCAAUCUUGGCCAUGUAGAAGUCACUUUGAAGGACCCCCUAAAUUUAUCAACACUUGCUGAGCAUUUAUAGAGACCAAACAAUUGAUAUUAGCACAAUAACACAGUGGGUGGUGUGUUUCAGCAGUGCCAACAGUGAUAAUGGGUCACUUCCAUUGCUGUAGAUAUUUAGGAGUGUAUCAUGCAGCUCAUUGCUGGCAAAAAAAAAAAAAAAAAAAAAAUGCACAGCUAAUCGUGGUGACUGUAUAUAAAAAUAGUGUUUUGUGGCUGAGAAUUUUCUCUAUCAAUAGUGUUAUUACAAGCUUUGAAUCUGUUGUAGUUUCCAUGGAAAUACAUAGGAGGCAUUACUUUUGAAGCAACCUACAUACUUCUGGAAACAUUUUAGGCUAACCAAUAAUUUUACCUAUUUUUAUGUAUAUAUACAAACAUAUAAGUAUUCACACACCUACUUCAAACAUCUUGCUAUCUUCACAAUUGUUACCCUUUGUAUUUCACAUUUUCUUUCACAGCCUUCAGUUUUCUUAUUUCCUUCAUUCUAGAAGAAUAUUGUUUUCUCUUUUAAUUUUUAAUACUUUCACUGCUUAUAAAAUGUUACAUCAAAGUUCAGUGUCUGGAUUCAAAAUGUACACCUGUAUAAGUAAAAUAGUAUAAGGGCAUUAACCUGACCACUGGCCUGUGGCAGUCCACAGAGUUACCAUUAACAGAUGUCAUCUAGCACUCUCUGAGUAUUCUCUGAGUGUAGUCCAAGGAACAAAGGCAUCAGCAACAGAUCUUUUCUAUUUUCUGUUUUAUAUGUAGUCACCCUAUUCCAGAAGAGAAAAAGAGUGUAAUGGACAAGGAGACUGUUCCCCCUCUGAUGAAAGGUAAUGGGGAGCUGGCUUCCUCAGACAUAGAAAAAGCUGAGGCACUCAAUGAGUUCUUCUCCUCAGUCUUCAUGGGUGGUCAGGCUUCCUGUGUCUGCUAGGACCAUGAGCCUCUAGGUGAGGGUAUGGGGGGUGGUUUUUGUUGCACUGUAACGGUGGAACAAGUCCGAGUCCUCCUCAUGAAUCUGAAUGUGUAUGGCCAUACAUACUGGGGCCCCCAGUGCAGGAAGGACAUGGAGCUCUUGGAGCGGGUCCAGAGGAGGGCCACUAAGAUGAUCAGAGGGCUGGAUCUCCUCUCCUGUGAAGAAAGGCUGAGGGAACUGGGCUUGUUCAGCUUGGAGAAGAGAAGGCUCUGGGGAGACCUCCUUAUGGCCUUUCAGUACUUGAAGGGAGUGUAUAAACAGGAAGGGGAAUGACUGUUUACUAGGGUGGAUAGUGAUAGGACAAGGGGGAAAGGUUUUAAACUGGGACAGGGGAGGUUUAGAUUAGAUAUUAGGAGGAAGUUUUUCACUCAGAGGGUGGUGACACACUGGAACAGGUUGCCCAAGGAGGUUGUGGAUGCUCCAUCUCUGGAUGCAAUGAACACUAGUCUGGAUGUGGCUCUGGGCACCUGGUCUGGUGGUUGGCAACUCUGCACAUAGCAGGGGGGUUGAAGCUAGAUGAUCAUUGUGGUCCUUUUCAACUCAGGCCAUUCUGUGAUUCUAUGAUUCUAUGGUAUCAGUCAUGCCUUGCCAAGUGGUAGGGAUUAUCAAUACCAUAGUUUUGUAAUAAAUUGGACUCUGUAGAUAUUAAGUGAGUUUGUAAAAAAAAAGAUGAGGAAGUACUGAAAUUGGCCUAAAAAUAGAAGAAGAAUGUUUGUUUGUUUGUUUUUUAAUUGAAAUAUAUUUUUGAUUCAUAUUUUUGACUUAUAUUUUUUGCUCAUGUAACACCCAUACUGUAUGGUAAAUUUCUCCUCCAUUAGAAAUCUACGUUAAAAAAAAAAGAAAGACUUUCAGAAGUAGGACUUGGAGGAUUAUACACAAUUUCAGGAUAACAAGGACUGCUGUUGUUUAAACAAGAAGGUAACUAUGCACCUUGCAGCUGUAGUGGCUCACUCCCUGCUUUCCCAGUGGGAUUGGGGAGAGAAAUAGAAAAAAAAUAUUGAAUUCAUAGCUUGAGAUAGCAGCUAUUUAAUAAGCAGAAGAGGAGAGGAGAAAUAGUAUUUAGUAUUGCUAAUUAUAUAUUUAAAUGUAUAUUUAAAAAGUAAACAAUGCACAACACAAAUGCUCACAAUGCCUAAUUCUGAAAAUACACAGGAUAUUGGACAAAAUCUCUGUGUGAACAUUGUUGAGAAAAAUCUCAAUAAAUAAACUGAAUGCAUCUAUCUAUUGAUGCGUUUUAUGCGUUUUGGGAUGAACAAAUUCCUAAGAAUGCUCAGAUAAUUAAAUACAGCCCUAUGUUCUAGAACUUGCUCGCUACUGUGUAUGAUAACUUGCUUCAACAUUUUCAUCUGAUGGAUACGACAUUUUCCUUUUGAGGAAUCUUUGGUUUGUUUCUUUAAAAUCUACUCCUCAUGUUAAAUAAAUGGAAAGUCAUAAAUUCUUCACUUGCUUCUGAAAUAUUAUUUGAAGGCACAGAUACAGGCUACAAGCAAUGGAUAUUCACAAAAUCAGCCAUCUCAAUUCUAGUAGCAAAUUUUCUAAGAAUUGCAUAAAAAUAAAUGACAGGGAAGAACAAGUGGGAAAAACUGUAUCUUUGGUUCUCACUACAAUAUUUUCAUUCAUAUCCUUUAAAAUAUAAAUUUUAUGGAAGCUUUGGGACUUCCCAAGAAUGAUAUUGUAUGUGAUUUAAUUUAAAGUCAAUAAUUUUGUAAAGCUUGAAUGGGAAUUUUACUUCUCUAUUGUUUAACCAGGGUCUUGAGAUGGAGGUAAAUUUAAAGGAUAAAGACAUGCUAGGGUUAGUGACCUCCUUCAACUCUUUUAAAAGUCUUUAUAAAAUACAAUUCUCAUGAUUGUAUUAUUUCAGCAAAAGAAACAACGGGAUGCCUACUGAACUCAAAACACUGAUGAAAUUUCCAUGAGAAUGGCCAACUUUGAGGAUUAAAUGGCAGCUAAUGUAACCUUAUUUUAAAAAGUUCUGUUUUGUUUUGUUUUAUUUUGUUUCCACUUUGAGUCUAUGAGACCUUGAAAUGUCAAGUUUACUCUUAUUAGUGUGUUGAUGUCAGUUAUGUUAGUGUGAUUGUAUAUGUAUUUCAGAGUAUGAUAGUUUUCUUCAAAAGAUUGUAAAGGAGAAAAAUAUAACAGAAACCACAAUUUAAUUCACUUUAUUAUAUGUAAAUAUAAGUAUUUUGUAGUAAUUAAUCUGAUACAGUAACUCAUCAUUAACUAUUGGGUAUGUGGUAGAUUUCCACAGAGAUUCAAGCAUUUUUUCUUGACGUUGCUACCAAACUCAAAAAUUAUACAAAAUCCUACUGAUUUUGUUCUAUCUAGAUUCCAACUAACUUAUUCCUAAUAUAAAUAAACAAAUAAAACAAACAGACAAAAAAAGCAACCCAAAGCCCCCAGAAUCCUAUAUGGCUUUUUAAAAUGUUUAUUUUAAAAAAAGAUUGAUUAAUCUUACCUGACAUUUUUUUAGCACAGAAGCUUCUAAAUAUAAUCAAGAGCACAAUGAGAACAAAUGUACUGUUAUAAAUUUGUACAUUAGUUUUUAAUGGAUUGUUCUCAUAAAUAUUUGGUGCAAUAAAAGAUCACAUAUUACUGAACAUUCUGUGCUUUUUUUUUUUUCAGAUUUGUUUGGUUAAAAUGAGGUCAAAGAGUAAAUUUGUUAACCUUCUAACAGCAUGCUUUUGACUAUUGAAUAUUAUUUGGAUCAUUGUCUUCUAUUUUAUUUUAUUAAGUACUUGCAGAAAUGCGUCCAGUUUUUCUUAUGAAACAGUACCCAACUUUGAUACCUGACAUGGUUAAGAUCAAUAUUUUCAGUAUAAAAGUAAUACAUGUGUAAAAUUGUAACAUUGAUGAAGAACAGCAGAAUAUGAACAAUGACACAUUGAGUUUUCAUUUGCAAUUCCUCAAAUUGUAAGUAUGUGAUAGUUAUUAUUUGUUCAUAAGUUCUGAAGAAUACUAAAGAUUUCACCUUCCUGAGUGAUGUAUUUUAUCCUGUAACUUUUUUUAAGUAGUUACAUAACAAAAUCACCUAAAAACUAGGUAUUUCCAAAAUGCAAGAAGCGAGUGCUGAUAUUUACAAAAGGAUUUAUUAGCAUGCUGCAAAAGAUUGAGACAAGUGAGCAGCUCAUUACUGAUUUAGUAAGAGAGAAUGACCGUACUUGAUGACCUUGCUAGCUUGUCUUUACCUAUGUAUCUUUUCUUACAUGUGAAACAGAUAAAUGUGAGAAAUGCCAUUUCAUGGACACAUAAGCAUAAUUGUUCUUACUUUUAGUCUUAAUGUGCCCAACAAUCUCCUUUCUACCUUCUCCUCAUGGGACUUUGGUAGAGAAAAAUGUCACUGAACAAGAAGAAAUAAACAAUAAUGCAAAGUUCUAGUUAAAAAAAAAGGAUGGGUUAUCAGAAAUGGUCAAUAAAGAUAUUCUUCCUGUACUAAGGAAUGCAGUUAUAUCAGUUAGAAGUGUUAUUACAGAAAUCCUUAUCAAUAUGACUUAAUAAAGACUCCUGUUAGGAAAGGGAAUGACUUGAAGGGAUUCAGCAGAGUUACCUGGAUAAGACAGUAUUAAUCUGUAAAGAAAUUUUCAAGAAUAGUGCAGAGGUUUUAUGAGUAUCUUAUAAAGAUGAAUCACUCUUUGUCUUUAAUUUAGGAUAGCUCCCUAUAUGUCACUAUCUGUUAGAACAUCAUGUCCAUUUUACAUUUGUAUUAUUUUCCUUUCUGCUUUAUGCUUGUCAGCACCUUGACAACACUAUCAGUCCCUACUGUUCCUGCCCAUCUCAGCCUUCCUCCAGCCUAAUAGUUGUCCAGACACUCCAUUUCUUCUGUCUAGGGCUCUCCUGCCCCAGCAAUGCCAUAGAAGGAACAGUCUGCAAGUAGCUUGUCUCUUACCCCAUCUCCUUUCGUUUCUUACUAGACAUACCAGCUCCAGUCUUGUCCCAUUUGGAGCACACUUAUUCUUGCUUCUCCCUGGUAAAUCUCCUAGCCCCAUCUCUUUACUACAGUAAUAAGGGUGUGAUUAGGUGUAUUCUGCCUUUGUAUUAUUUUUUUGACAAAUAAGAUAUUAUCCAGGAAAAAUAACUCUUACUCAACAUGUCUAUGCUGACAUAUUUGAUCAUUUUUAUGGUUUUAUUACUUUAAUUUACUUGUGUCCUGUCAACACUCCCAGAGGCACCCAAAAUGUGUAGAAAAAUACUUAAUACAAGCUUUAAUUUGAUAUUGUUUCUGUUACAAAAUAAAUCUUUUAUUUGUUCACAUUUUUUUUCUUUUUUAUUGUUUUAAUGGAAAGUGAAGCUUUUUGUGGAGAAUGUGUUUUAGGUUAAAUGCUGCUUGUGCAUUAUAUUCUUCUUUUAACUUUUUAACUUAAAAACGAUUCACUACGUAUUUAAAUUUUUUUCUUCAGACUAUGCACAUUUUAUAUUAAAAUAAUAGUUUACUGAUUCCAGUGCAGAGCAUUAGGGGACUACAGAUAUCUUUAUUAGAUUGUGUUAGGACAACAGAGUAUCCAUGGCAUGUCAACCAUUAAUAAGAAAUAAAUGUGUUUCAUAUCUCUAAGUGUAACAAUUUACUCUAUCAACUUUGUAGUUGAGUGAUUAUGUAUUUCUCUGGAAAUUUCAAUGCUGUUUUCUGAAAAACUACUGUCAAAAACACAACCUCUGUGAUACUGUCAGCAUGAAGAAACCUCUUUAUAUUUUACUUGAGAAGGUUCUCCUUAUGAAUUCUUUAAAGAGAAACAUAACCUUUUUAGCUGUGAAUAAUUAAAAGUUAUGAUAAAUCUAUUUAGGAAGCAUUCAAGGUAAUGGAUUUUCAGACAGGAGAGUAUUUCUGCAUAGGUUUUACUUCCAUGGCUUUUUUUUUUUUUUUUUUUUUUUUGUAGUUAAGGCCACAAAACACUUGUGUGAAAUUAUGUACAUAUGUUAUAUGUUAAUAAACAGAAAACAUAUAAAACUAGAUGUAAAAUAUUUCAAUUGUUAUGAAAGCAUAUAAUUUCUCUUCUACAUCACUACUUAACUUAAAAAGGAGAAAAAAGAAGUAAAUGUUUUCUGAUCCAUUGCUUUUGAGUUUUCUUUAAAAGAAGAAUACCUUUUUCUUGUCAAUAUUCUUCAUAAAAAGUAAAGAAAAUAUGUUCCUUUCAGCAUAAUGAACCCAUCCUUUUUAUUCUUUUCAAGAGAUUUUUAACAAUGUCAUUAGUGGGGGGAAGCUGAUUCAAUUGCCUUUUUAUAAAUUCAGAAUAACUAGUCACAGAAUGAAAAUUUAAAAGUAAUUUUUUCUGAAGCUAGAAGAAAUUCUUUAUAUCUAUAAGCAGAGCUAAAACAUACAUAUAUUUCUUUCCCUCUGUUUUCACCAUUAAUCCACCCUGUCCCACUAGUCUUUCCAUAAUGAACAUGAAGCACUAUACACAUAUGAUGAUGAGGUUACACAGAAGCUGAGGUGGCAGGAAAUUGAAGGACACAAAACAAUCAAUAAGGAGAAAUGUGGGUCUGAUGUUGUUCCUUCACUGAAAGAAAAAGAUCAUCUUCAGAAAAACCAGUAGAAGGUAAAAACCUCCUCAGUAUGAGUAGGAACAAUUGAAAAAGUACAGUAAGGGAGUAGAACUGAGGAACUGUGAUUCAAAAGCCUUUUUGGAAUCUUCACAUUGAUAGCUAUGAAACAUCCUUUAAUCAAUUUAUAAUAUUACUUUCUAAAUAGCACAGAGGAAUAAUUUCUAUAUUUUCUCCUUCCUUUAGGAACAUAAUAAUUCCUAACUUUUGCAGAGCUGAAUCUGGUACUACUUUUUCAAUCACAACACUUUAUUUGUUUAAUAAUUUCUUUUUGUUAUAUUUAAAGAAGGCCAAAACUUUAGUUUCUUUAUUUGAAAAUGUCUGUAGACAAAGUUAAAAAGGCAUUUAUUACCUAUACUUUUGUUCUUCAAUAUUUUUAUGUUAAUGUCACCUUAAUGAAGGAGUAAAUCCAUUGUAUAUAGCCUGAAAAUUUAUGAAGAGCCAGGUUUUCCUAUUGAUAAAUGCUCUUUGUUAAUGAUCCAUUGGCUUGUCCCAGGGGAAAUAAAUUAUAUUUAUUUAUUUCUGAACAAACAGAAUGAACAAAACCAGCAAACUGAAGUUAAUAGAACAAUCAUCAUCAUAUCAUUUUCAAAAGAAAUUAUUUGUAGAUAAUUCACUGGGUAAAAAUUAUUCUCAAUCUUAGAAUGAUAUUUGUUAGGGUAAUGGACCAAAACUACAAGAGUUACUAUGAAAGUAGUGUCUCUUAUUUUUUUAUGUUGUCCCACAACAUCAGAGGUGAAUGUUGACUGUAUGGCAAUAAAAGUUGAACCUUUGCACCAAUAUUCUGUUGCCUUGUGACAGACAGCAGCAGGGGCAAUCUGACAAAAUGGUGUCUGCCUUGAAAGUGUGUAUGAAGCAGAGGUAUGUGAUUGAAUUCCUCCAUGAAGAAAAAAUGGCACCCACUGACAUUUGUCAAUGCUUGCUGAAUGUUUAUGGAGACCAAACAAUGUAGGUGAGCACGGUGAAGCAGUGGGUGGUGUGUUUCAGCAGUGGUGACAGUGACAGUGGAUCACCUCUGCUUGUGAAGACUUUUAUGAGAGUGGCAUGCAGACUCUUGUUCACUGCUGGUGAAAAUGCAUAACUAACAGUGGUGACUUUGUUGUAAAAUAGUGCUUUGUAGAUGAGAACUUGCUCAAUCAAAUAGUGUAAUUGUGCUCUUUCUGUCUGUUGAAUUUUCCAUUGAAAUAAAAAGAACACGUUAUUUUUGGAGCUACAUACGUGGGUAAAGAAAUGUAUUUAAAAUCAUAUAGUGUUGGCUAAAACCUGUGAGCAAAGUUUUAGGGUUUUUGUUUGUUUGUUUGGUUGGUUUUCGUUUUUUUUUUCAGCUAAAAAUAACUCAGAUCCUUGGCUUUUGUUGGCCAAGGCCACUUGUUUUACUGUUCUAUGGGGUUUUGUACAGCUGCUUUGAGGAAAGUCAUAGGGAUCCCUCUUCCAGGAGACUAAUUUCCUAGAACUUCAGAAAGCUUUCACCAUAAGAUACCAAGAUUUCUUCUAUCCACCAUACUGUUUCUUCUUUUUGAGGUAAUAUGUUAAUCACUGUUUCACUUUCUGCAGAUAUUGUGUUACAGAAGGUCUCACAUUUUAACAGCUAACAUUCAAGUCUUAGUGCAAAAAUACUUUAACCAUUUUCUUACCUUAUGGAAAAACAUAGAAUCAAACUGAAUGAAUACUGGACCAAUGACUGUAGCAGAGAAUGAUCAUCUUUUUAUUGCAUAGAUUGGUGGGGAAUUAAAUAUUGACAGAAGAUGAGCCAGUGAAAUGGAAAUAGAGUUUUGACAAUACACACAGCUUCC